UAAAUCAUGAAAUGGUCAUAUAUCUAAGAACACGUUUUACUCUUUUUUCUAACAAAUAAGUUUACCGUUUAAUACAUUAGAUGACACAGUUAUAUUUAACCGGAAGGGAUCAGCUGAGGCAUAAGCUAAUCCACCAUAUAAUACACUAAUAAAAAAUAAACAUGUGGAAUUUAUUUAGUCAUUACUCCUACACUGCAACUCCUUUUUCUUUAAGAGGAAGAAACACGCGGAUGAGAGACUGGACGCGGUUGUGGAGGUUGAGGCGGGGGCCGACGAGAGCUGAGGUCGAAUCGGGGAGGCGGGCUCUGUCGGCGGCGUCGGCGGCGGAGGGAGGAGGGGAUUGAGGAUUGAGGCGGAGGGCGUAGAGAGGCGGCUCGAUCCGGAGCCUGCGCUUGCGGCGGCGGCGUUCGGCUGCGGCUUCCUCUGCGGAGGAGAAUCCGUAGGAGCGCUGCGAGAUGAAGGAGGAAUUGUCCAGGCAUUGGGGCUGGGAGUGUUGAGCGGCGGCGGAGAACUGAUUGGGGGUGAAAUUGGUGGUAGGAUACGGCGGAUGAGGGGGAUUGGUGAGAGGGGUAUCUGUAAAGUGAAUGAGAUUGCUAUAAUUUUGAAUUUCCUAACUUAGAAUGCCAAGCUUCAGCAGUAAUCACUCACAAACACAUGCGCGUCUGUGUGCGAACAGAGAGAUAAGAGAGGGAAAUCGGUGUUUCUUUCUCUUAAAGACAAAGGAGUUGCAGUGUAGGGAGGGAGAGAGUAAUGACUAAUGAGUGAAGAUAUGAAGGCGCGGGACCACAAAAUAAAAGGACUAUAUGAACUUUGGCGUGGUCCCUGAUUAUGUGACCGCAAGUUGAGAGAGGAAUUGACGGUGCCCUUGAGCGCAUGAUCAAUUAGCUGUGUCUGGAGAUGCCAAAAUGUGUAAUCAAUGGAGUAAUUCACACCAUUAAUGAAAGGGGGAAUUAGAUUAGGGAUGAGAACCUGUGGAUCGGAAACG